UACGUAGGGUGCGAGCGUUGUCCGGAAUUAUUGGGCGUAAAGAGCUCGUAGGCGGUUGUGUUACGUCGGCCGUGAAAACCCUGCAGCUUAACUGGUGGGCUGUGCGGUCGAUACGGGCAUCACUGGAGUUCGGCAGGGGAGACUGGAAGUUCCUGGUGUAGCGGUGAAAUGCGCAGAUAUCAGGAGGAACACCGGUGGCGAAGGCGGGUCUCUGGGCCGAUAACUGACGCUGGAG
rnacentral:rRNA from 1 species